GACACAUUCAGUAGGAUCCCAGGAUUUACAACACAAUAGUUGACAGUAGGCUGCAUGCCCCUAUCACAUUUUUUUUUAAAAGUAGCAUUGAGAAAAUUCUUCAGAGAUGUGCAAAGUAAGCGUAUGUAAACUGAUUCUAACAGGUAAAAAAUGAUCAAAGGCUAUGCCGUCUAGCGUCAGAAAGAAAUGUAACAUGAAAGCAAUGUCCGCUCUAGCUCGUUGACAUUCAAUUGAAAGAACUGGCAAACAAAGGUAACAAAUAACUUUGAUACUCACGUAAUAUUCACCAUGCAAAAUUUCAUCAAAAAGCCACCACGCAGCAUCACACAUCACAAAAGACGAAAUCCCCAAGGUGAACGCCACUUCAACUUCUACACUGAGGAGAAGGCACUCAAGAUAGAUAUCCGUUCAUGUUGUCAGCAAGUGAUUCCAGACGUUUCAGCACCUGGGCAACAGUGCUGGACAGUGGAUUGCUGAAAGGGAAAACACCCACUUGGCUACACACUACAAGGCAACAGCAGACAUUAAGUCAAUCACAAAUGAUGGUGAAGAUGAAUAAAUCCUUUCCACACUACCCUAUCUGACAACAAUUGCAUGUUCCUGGCUCAUUCGAUCCCCACUCUAGGGACUGGGAAUCUAAUUAAAUUAAAAAUCACCUGUAUCACCCUUUUAGCGUAGAGACGUUUACAAACUUCCCUCUACCCCUACACACUAGGGCUGAAUAGUUAAAUCCCUCCACACUAAAAUAUUUAGCCACCUAGUGACAGCCCUUAGCAUCCAAGGACGACUGGACGGAACGGAUUGUCACCUAGCCCUGCCUGCAAUGGCUGUUUGAGAUUCUUCUCCUAUAAAAAACAAAAAAAAUAGGACAUGCCUAUAAAACUUUGGAAAAUAAAAAAAAAUCAUUAAAUGUACAAACAGAGUGAUUGAGAGAUGGUGGGAAUUUAUCUAUGUUCGUCGGCUUGUCGCCCACUGAAAUUUCGAAUGCGUGUUAAAACCAAGGUUUAAAACGGACCACGGUACCAUGAUAGCAGUAAAAUAAUUAUUCUUCAUAUUAUUAUCAUCGUCAUUAUGAACUAAGAUGGUGCACACUUAAACCUGUUUAUUGUGACCCAAAUGAGAACCUUUCAAUAGUAUCCUAUAAGUAUCCAACAAGUUGAAUGAAAAAUUUGAUAAUAUAGAUUUCCAGAAUAUAAUCUUAAAAUGUCA
rnacentral:lncRNA from 1 species